rnacentral:rRNA from 1 species
UACGUAGGGGGCAAGCGUUGUCCGGAUUUAUUGGGCGUAAAGAGCGUGUAGGCGGCUUUGCAAGUUCCGUUGUGAAAACUCGAGGCUCAACCUCGAGACGCCGGUGGAAACUGCAAAGCUAGAGUCCGGAAGAGGAGAGUGGAAUUCCUGGUGUAGCGGUGAAAUGCGCAGAUAUCAGGAAGAACACCCGUGGCGAAGGCGGCUCUCUGGGACGGUACUGACGCUGAGACGCGAAAGCGUGGGGAGCGAACAGG